rnacentral:rRNA from 1 species
UACAGAGGGUGCAAGCGUUGUUCGGAAUUAUUGGGUACGUAAGCGCGUGUGAGGCGGCUUGGCAAGUCGGGGUGUGAAAUCCCUCAGCUCAACUGAGGAAGUGCGCCCGAAACUGCUUAGCUUGAGUGCCGGAGAGGAUGGCGGAAUUCCCCAAGUAGAGGUGAAAUUCGUAGAUAUGGGGAGGAACACCGGUGGCGAAGGCGGCCAUCUGGACGGUAACUGACGCUGAGACGCGAAAGCGUGGGUAGCAAACGAGGA